rnacentral:rRNA from 1 species
UUAAGUGACUAAGCGUACACGGUGGAUGCCCUGGCAGUCAGAGGCGAUGAAGGACGUGCUAAUCUGCGAUAAGCGUCGGUAAGGUGAUAUGAACCGUUAUAACCGGCGAUUUCCGAAUGGGGAAACCCAGUGUGUUUCGACACACUAUCAUUAACUGAAUCCAUAGGUUAAUGAGGCGAACCGGGGGAACUGAAACAUCUAAGUACCCCGAGGAAAAGAAAUCAACCGAGAUUCCCCCAGUAGCGGCGAGCGAACGGGGAGCAGCCCAGAGCCUGAAUCAGUGUGUGUGUUAGUGGAAGCGUCUGGAAAGGCGCGCGAUACAGGGUGACAGCCCCGUACACAAAAAUGCACAUACUGUGAGCUCGAUGAGUAGGGCGGGACACGUGGUAUCCUGUCUGAAUAUGGGGGGACCAUCCUCCAAGGCUAAAUACUCCUGACUGACCGAUAGUGAACCAGUACCGUGAGGGAAAGGCGAAAAGAACCCCGGCGAGGGGAGUGAAAAAGAACCUGAAACCGUGUACGUACAAGCAGUGGGAGCACGCUUAGGCGUGUGACUGCGUACCUUUUGUAUAAUGGGUCAGCGACUUAUAUUCUGUAGCAAGGUUAACCGAAUAGGGGAGCCGAAGGGAAACCGAGUCUUAACUGGGCGUUAAGUUGCAGGGUAUAGACCCGAAACCCGGUGAUCUAGCCAUGGGCAGGUUGAAGGUUGGGUAACACUAACUGGAGGACCGAACCGACUAAUGUUGAAAAAUUAGCGGAUGACUUGUGGCUGGGGGUGAAAGGCCAAUCAAACCGGGAGAUAGCUGGUUCUCCCCGAAAGCUAUUUAGGUAGCGCCUCGUGAAUUCAUCUCCGGGGGUAGAGCACUGUUUCGGCAAGGGGGUCAUCCCGACUUACCAACCCGAUGCAAACUGCGAAUACCGGAGAAUGUUAUCACGGGAGACACACGGCGGGUGCUAACGUCCGUCGUGAAGAGGGAAACAACCCAGACCGCCAGCUAAGGUCCCAAAGUCAUGGUUAAGUGGGAAACGAUGUGGGAAGGCCCAGACAGCCAGGAUGUUGGCUUAGAAGCAGCCAUCAUUUAAAGAAAGCGUAAUAGCUCACUGGUCGAGUCGGCCUGCGCGGAAGAUGUAACGGGGCUAAACCAUGCACCGAAGCUGCGGCAGCGACGCUGAUGCGUUGUUGGGUAGGGGAGCGUUCUGUAAGCCUGUGAAGGUGUGCUGUGAGGCAUGCUGGAGGUAUCAGAAGUGCGAAUGCUGACAUAAGUAACGAUAAAGCGGGUGAAAAGCCCGCUCGCCGGAAGACCAAGGGUUCCUGUCCAACGUUAAUCGGGGCAGGGUGAGUCGACCCCUAAGGCGAGGCCGAAAGGCGUAGUCGAUGGGAAACAGGUUAAUAUUCCUGUACUUGGUGUUACUGCGAAGGGGGGACGGAGAAGGCUAUGUUGGCCGGGCGACGGUUGUCCCGGUUUAAGCGUGUAGGCUGGUUUUCCAGGCAAAUCCGGAAAACUAAGGCUGAGGCGUGAUGACGAGGCACUACGGUGCUGAAGCAACAAAUGCCCUGCUUCCAGGAAAAGCCUCUAAGCAUCAGGUAACAUCAAAUCGUACCCCAAACCGACACAGGUGGUCAGGUAGAGAAUACCAAGGCGCUUGAGAGAACUCGGGUGAAGGAACUAGGCAAAAUGGUGCCGUAACUUCGGGAGAAGGCACGCUGAUAUGUAGGUGAAGCGACUUGCUCGUGGAGCUGAAAUCAGUCGAAGAUACCAGCUGGCUGCAACUGUUUAUUAAAAACACAGCACUGUGCAAACACGAAAGUGGACGUAUACGGUGUGACGCCUGCCCGGUGCCGGAAGGUUAAUUGAUGGGGUCAGCGCAAGCGAAGCUCUUGAUCGAAGCCCCGGUAAACGGCGGCCGUAACUAUAACGGUCCUAAGGUAGCGAAAUUCCUUGUCGGGUAAGUUCCGACCUGCACGAAUGGCGUAAUGAUGGCCAGGCUGUCUCCACCCGAGACUCAGUGAAAUUGAACUCGCUGUGAAGAUGCAGUGUACCCGCGGCAAGACGGAAAGACCCCGUGAACCUUUACUAUAGCUUGACACUGAACAUUGAGCCUUGAUGUGUAGGAUAGGUGGGAGGCUUUGAAGUGUGGACGCCAGUCUGCAUGGAGCCGACCUUGAAAUACCACCCUUUAAUGUUUGAUGUUCUAACGUUGACCCGUGAUCCGGGUUGCGGACAGUGUCUGGUGGGUAGUUUGACUGGGGCGGUCUCCUCCUAAAGAGUAACGGAGGAGCACGAAGGUUGGCUAAUCCUGGUCGGACAUCAGGAGGUUAGUGCAAUGGCAUAAGCCAGCUUGACUGCGAGCGUGACGGCGCGAGCAGGUGCGAAAGCAGGUCAUAGUGAUCCGGUGGUUCUGAAUGGAAGGGCCAUCGCUCAACGGAUAAAAGGUACUCCGGGGAUAACAGGCUGAUACCGCCCAAGAGUUCAUAUCGACGGCGGUGUUUGGCACCUCGAUGUCGGCUCAUCACAUCCUGGGGCUGAAGUAGGUCCCAAGGGUAUGGCUGUUCGCCAUUUAAAGUGGUACGCGAGCUGGGUUUAGAACGUCGUGAGACAGUUCGGUCCCUAUCUGCCGUGGGCGCUGGAGAACUGAGGGGGGCUGCUCCUAGUACGAGAGGACCGGAGUGGACGCAUCACUGGUGUUCGGGUUGUCAUGCCAAUGGCACUGCCCGGUAGCUAAAUGCGGAAGAGAUAAGUGCUGAAAGCAUCUAAGCACGAAACUUGCCCCGAGAUGAGUUCUCCCUGACUCCUUGAGAGUCCUGAAGGAACGUUGAAGACGACGACGUUGAUAGGCCGGGUGUGUAAGCGCAGCGAUGCGUUGAGCUAACCGGUACUAAUGAACCGUGAGGCUUAACCUU